rnacentral:tRNA from 1 species
GCGACGCUGGCGGACGCGGCGCGGAUCCCCUCUCCCGCACGGGAGAGGGGCCGCCCAGCCCUUCGAUCGACCGUUUCGGUCUCGCCGUGCC